AUUUGGAUUUGAGUUUUUCGAUAUAAAAUACAACUUUCCUAAUUUGACACUUAUAGUGAAUUUUUACAUGUACUGCUAUACAAAUUAACAAAAUUUAUCAUUUUUAUUAGACAUGAGUUGUUCUAUUACCUCACUCUAGGGAAUCUCAUUCAUAUUGUAAAGUCUUUGACAUUAAAAUAUUAAUUUUAUCAAAGGUAAGAUACAUCGGUAAAUAAGAAAAAAAUUGUAUUCUCUUCGUCCCAAUCGUUUGUUUGUGAUUGAGACGCUACUUUAUUGGGUUGUGAUAUUGGAUUUGGUUUUUACGAUAUAAAAUACAACUUGCCUAAUGUGACACUAGUAUGUGAAUUUUAUGUAAUGCUAUACAAAUUAACAAAAAUUAUAAAAUUUUAGUAUGAAGAGUGUUCGUAUUCAUCACUCUAGGGAAUCUCAUUUCAUAUUUUUAAGUCUUAUUACAAAAGUAAAUAUAUAAUUUUAUCAAAGGUAAGAUACAUCGUAAAUAAGAAAAAAAUUGAUUCUCUUCGUCCCAAUGCGUUUGUUCGUUAUUUGUUAUAAUUGUCCUAAAAUAUGUGUUCACUUUAAAAGUUAACUAGGAAAUAGUGUAAACUUUUUUUCUUUUGCUGGCUCACCUUUUGAAUUGAUAUGACACAUUUAUUUUUCCCCUUUAGGUUAAUUUUAAAAUAUUAAAGUUAAUUUAAGAAAUUAAAACUCUUUAAGUGUCAGAUCUUUUUUUUUUAUAUUUUGUCAAACGAUAAAAAAGUAUCUUUAUUUAUUUAAAAAUUUUGAUUCUCUGUAAAUAGCAAUCUAAUUGAGAUUGAGAGAGUAAUUUGUAGAAGGACAAGAAAAAAUCAAGCAAAAUUAAACUGACUGAAAAUUUUGAUUUAGUUCGAUUUUAACUGCUUGUUCAGAGGUUUGGUUUCUAAAAUAUUAAAAUAAAAAAAAUUAGGUUUUGGAUUUGGUUUUGUAAUGUGCUAAAUCGAUACAAAUCGAAAUAAAUUAUCUAAUAUUUACUACUAAAUUCUAAUUCUUGAUUGUCAUCCUGUUGGUUGGUCAUGUUACAUUUUUUUUUCUUUCGCGAAUGUUUGAGCUCCUAAAGUCCUUUGAUUAUUUUGGGGGGAAUUUCAAAUUGGGGGGGGGGACUAUGGGUUGUCAUCUUACCAUCCUACUUGGUUGUUUGUAAGUUACUCACUACUCUUCGGCAUUAAUGUAUUGGCGUUGAUUGUUUGUAAUUUUUACUUUAAAUUUAUUUAUAAUAUUUUUUUUAUCGAUAAAUUUUAUAAUAUUUUUAUUUUAAUUGUUAAUUGAUUUGUAUUUUAUGAAUUUAAAAUUUGAUGAUCUAGUGGACUUUUUUUACU
rnacentral:lncRNA from 1 species